rnacentral:rRNA from 1 species
AUUGAACGCUGGCGGCAGGCCUAACACAUGCAAGUCGAACGAGUGGCGGACGGGUGAGUAAUGUCUGGGAAACUGCCUGAUGGAGGGGGAUAACUACUGGAAACGGUAGCUAAUACCGCAUACCAUCAGAUGUGCCCAGAUGGGAUUAGCUAGUUGGUGGGGUAACGGCGCACCAAGGCGACGAUCCCUAGCUGGUUUGAGAGGAUGACAAGCCAAACUGGAACGUGGACACGGUCCAGAGUCCGACGGGAGGCAGCAGGGGGGAAGAGUGCACAAUGGGCGCAAGCGUGAUGCAGCCAUGCCGCGUGGAUGCAGAGGGCCGUCGGGUUGUAAAGUACUUUCAGCGUGGAGGCGUUACCCGCAGAAGAAGCACCGGCUAACUCCGUGCCAGCAGCCGCGGUAAUUC